rnacentral:tRNA from 1 species
GUCCCCAUCGUCUAGCCUGGUCUAGGACAUCGCCCUUUCACGGCGGAAACGGGGGUUCGAAUCCCCCUGGGGACGCCA